UUUUUUUUUUUUUUUUUUUUUUUUUUUUUCGC
rnacentral:ribozyme from 1 species